rnacentral:misc_RNA from 1 species
AAAUUAAUUAUUACAAUGUUUUUGAAACAACACCAAAUUAACAUUUUCUUUUUCAAUCCGUUUUUAUAAUAA